rnacentral:rRNA from 1 species
UUAGGAAUCUUCCACAAUGGGCGCAAGCCUGAUGGAGCGACACUGCGUGAAGGAUGAAGGUUUUCGGAUCGUAAACUUCUGAACGAGGGACGAACAAUGACGGUACCUCGCUAAAAGCACCGGCUAACUCCGUGCCAGCAGCCGCGGUAAUACGUAGGGGGCGAGCGUUGUCCGGAAUUAUUGGGCGUAAAGAGCGUGUAGGCGGCCUGGUAAGUCUGCCGUGAAAACCUGGGGCUCAACCCUGGGCGUGCGGUGGAUACUGCUAGGCUAGAGGAUGGUAGAGGCGAGUGGAAUUCCCGGUGUAGCGGUGAAAUGCGCAGAUAUCGGGAGGAACACCAGUAGCGAAGGCGGCUCGCUGGGCCAUUCCUGACGCUGAGACGCGAAAGCGUGGGGAGCAAACAGGAUUAGAUACCCCCGUAGUCC